UACGGAGGAUGCAAGCGUUAUCCGGAUUUAUUGGGUUUAAAGGGUGCGCAGGUUGUUUGAUAAGUCAGUGGUGAAAGUCUGUCGCUUAACGGUAGGAUUGCCUUGAUACUGUUAGACUUGAAUAUGGAUGAGGUAGGCGGAAUGUGUAGUGUAGCGGUGAAAUGCAUAGAUAUUACACAGAACACCGAUUGCGAAGGCAUCUCACAAAGCCGUUAUUGACGCUGAGGCACGAAAGUGUGGGGAUCAAACAGGAUUA
rnacentral:rRNA from 1 species